GACAGAGAGAACGAAGGAAAGAAAAUGAAAAUGGAGAUUUUGAUUAAAAUUCUUCCAAAAUUCAUAACUUGAGCUAGAGACCUCCAAAUCACUCCGUUCCAAAGCCAAACCUGUGAGAAAUUUCGAGAGGAAUCUAUUGGUACCAGUAUUUCUGAGUGGGGUUCACUGUAGAGAGAGAUCUUCUCCCCCAAAGAAUUCGAAUUUCAUGGAAAAUAUGGGUUUUGAUGGAGCUUGAAGCCAUGGGAGCUUGAAGCAAGCUUCUCCCUUCAUUCUAGGUGUACCUAGGGACUGUGAACGUUUGGAUUCUCGUGGAGUAUGAUAAGUAGCUUGUUCUUCAAGUAAGCAGAUUGUAAAGCUCAAAGAGGAACACAGUUAAUUGAAGAGCCUCAUGGGACAAGGACACUAACCGUGGCUAGAGGUACUAGUAUGAGGAUGUGGAGUUCUGGGUGGUCGGAUGCUACUAUUUGUUUUAGACGUAUUUUUGGAAAAGAUGUAUUGUUGCAUAGUGUUCAUAUUCGAUACAUGUACAUUUAUGUAUUCAGGCAUGAUGAUAUGACUAUGUAGUAUUCAGUUAUGUUAUGUAUUGGAUUGCAUGCUAUUAGAUUUGUGGCACGGAGCCAAGUUCAGCAUGCGCCCAUAGAUGGGUAUCUGAGUAUAUUUG